rnacentral:rRNA from 1 species
AUUGAACGCUGGCGGCAGGCCUAACACAUGCAAGUCGAGCGGCAGCGGGAAAGUAGCUUGCUACUUUUGCCGGCGAGCGGCGGACGGGUGAGUAAUGCCUGGGGAUCUGCCCAGUCGAGGGGGAUAACUACUGGAAACGGUAGCUAAUACCGCAUACGCCCUACGGGGGAAAGCAGGGGACCUUCGGGCCUUGCGCGAUUGGAUGAACCCAGGUGGGAUUAGCUAGUUGUUGAGGUAAUGGCUCACCAAGGCGACGAUCCCUAGCUGGUCUGGGAGGAUGAUCAGCCAAACUGGAACUGGGACACGGUCCAGACUCCUACGGGAGGCAGCAGUGGGGAAUAUUGCACAAUGGGGGAAACCCUGAUGCAGCCAUGCCGCGUGUGUGAAGAAGGCCUUCGGGUUGUAAAGCACUUUCAGCGAGGAGGAAAGGUUGGUAGCUAAUAACUGCCAGCUGUGACGUUACUCGCAGAAGAAGCACCGGCUAACUCCGUGCCAGCCGCCGCCGUAAUAC